AGUGUUCAUGUAGAUGUUUAAGUUCUUACAAUAGGUUUUGCAAGCUUGUGAACGCUG
rnacentral:pre_miRNA from 1 species